UCGUAUAUAAUCUGUCGUCUUAUUGGCGAGAGAAUAUGCCCUCUCGUAAAUCAAGUAUAUAAUGUAAUAGUCGCAAACGACGAAACUUACGCUCUAGCAGCCUAAGGGCUGCUUGGGUCGUCACUGGCUACCUAUGGCUAGGUUGAUCAUCCGCCCGACUAGGCGUCUUGACUAGUUAGGUUAAACUUUAAAGACUCGUCCAAUUCUACCUGACUGUCGGUUCGAUGCGGAUUAAACUUAUAGACAGACCCUAAACAUGUAGAUUCAUGAGCGUAGUAUCGGCGGACGCGGGUUCAACUCCCGCCAUCUCCACCA
rnacentral:tmRNA from 1 species